AGCCAUUUUGUGCUUUUGGAUUGAGUCAGCCACAUAACUUGUUAAUUUAAUAAUUUAAUGGUCAUGAAAUAAUUUCUAUGGCCAUUCUCUCUCUGAUUCUAGUACGGCAAUUGUCUGUUACUGGCAUAAGUAUAUGUACUCAGUAAGGCCAGGAAAAGGUUAAUUUAAUGACCACACUACUAUGACUAAAAUGCAUUUUAAUGUGUGUAGAGGUCAAUUAAAAAAUUAUAAAAUUCCUGUACUUUUUAGCUGUUUCAUACAGGACCCCGUACAAUCACAGAUUGGUGCCCAGCUGAACAACAGACUCUCUCACUUAAGCCAGGCCUGAACGCAUGGGGUCACUUCCUGUGUAUGGGUGGCCAAAUGUCAAACUAGUACCAAUCUGUGCCCAAAAAGCAGCCGUAGCCGUGGGGGGCAGGUUCAUGAUGCAACCGUGGUCUCAUUGCUCUCUGAACAUCUCUUUCCCAACAGCAACAGUACAGCAACAUGACCUGGGUCAUACCGUUGCCAGUUCAAGAUUAGAGGACCAUGUUCCCCAAAUCCAAUGUGGCCCUAUAUCUCAACAGGAAUACCUCGCAGAGCUAAUGAACAGAGCCAGUGCGUAGAACAUGAUUUUUAGGAGGAAUAGGAACCUAGGCCCAAUAUCAACCUGGUUCCAAUCUCGCGAAGAUGUCCACCGGCCGCCCCCUAGCACAAGCCUCGUUAGCCCCAAGGUGUUGUCAUGAUGCCCCUGGACAACAGCUCUUGUUGGGCUCUUCCCAAUAGCAGUAGAUCAACAUGGCAUAUCAGCAUGAUGCCCCAAACCAGCGCUUCAUAUUUAGCUACCAGCAGUAUCCAUGCAACCAAACCUUGAUCACUCAGCAACAGAUAAAUCAGCAGCAGGGAUGGAGUUAGCCGUUUCAACGUCUGCUCAGUUGCCUCUCAGAGCCAGUCGGCUUGCCGUGUUGCUUAGCCAAUCCACUAUUUAUGUCGCAGCACAAUAUCUCAUCUGGAUCCAUUCCACUGCUGGCGCAACAGCAGGUCUGUUCUCUGUACAGAGCCGUUUCUAUGAAGAUGAAGUCCUACAACUUGCCCAGUUCUUGCUUUUGCGUCAGGGUCAGGUUCAAGGCCUCAUGGGCUUUGGUGGUCUGGGCAAGAUGGGAAUGUUAGACAGAUUGCGCAUUGCAGCAACAACAACAGUUAAGAAAAUAGCAACAGCAUAAUAGACAGACACAGCAGCAAUGGCCACAGCACCAACAAUAGCAGUAACAGAUGAUGGCUUAGCUUCAUCAGCAAUAGCAGAAGCAACAAGAUCUUACGUCCAUGGACCAUUUAGAUGUCACUUUAGAAAUUCAGAAGAUCUUUAUGAAAGAAUAAACGAGGUAACAUCUGAACAUUGCAUCUAUGACUACAAUGAGGAAGUGAAAAGGGAGGAGACAAAGAAAUACAAAGAAAUUUUUAACAGCUUUACUUAAAAUUGUAAACAUGGAUUUCAUGGCAUUUAGUUUGGUUUGGAAGCAGUUACUAUCGCAGAACUCGAGCCAGCAAAGGUCAUUCUCACAGGAAUCCAGUAUCUCCAUGGUGCAGGACCCACAGUCUAUGAACGUUGUGGAGCUUGAACCUUGGACGCCAAUUGAAAAAUAUCCAAACCGUCCAAUCAGAAAGACAGUCUGUUGCAGCAGUUAUUCAAACCUAGGAUGCUUAGUGAUAAACAUAAAUAAACACAUGCUAGUCCCUAAGUGCCUGCAUUGGCUGUUUUAAAGCCUUGCUGUCCAUUCUGAACACUUAAAUGGAAGCUCUCACCUUAGAAUUUUGGGAUAGGUCGAAACCCAGUGGCAUGGUGCAGACUAACAUCGCAGAAUGACAAAGAAGUACAAGCCUGUGACCAGCAAUAAACUAAUGUGGCCAGCUAUGUUGUGUCAUGUGACCAGCCAAGCUGUGUGUAAAGAGAAAACUAUAGUUCAUGUCUUGUGGGAUUUAUGACGCUUUAAGUGAUUUGCUGUUAUAUGUUUUUGUGAUAUAUAUAGUUAAUUAUAAUCAAGUGAAGAUUACUUGUUUAAAGUGAUUAUGUAAAGUAUUAUUUUAAGUUCAAAAGAGUGCAAGCCUGUGUUGCUACUUUGUCUGUAUUCGAAAGUUUGAUCCAGAUGUUGGUAAAACAUAGAACAUAAACAUAUUUUUUAUUACAUUGAUUUAAAACUUAAGCAAAGUUGUUUAACUAAUAUUGUUAACUUGAAUAAAUUUUCAAACAUUUAUCGGCUUUUUCAUGAAAUAAGACAAACUACAGUAUUGUU